UGAUACAAGUAUCACCUCCCCAGAGCCCAAAUCAGUUGAUACGAGUAGUAUCACCUCUCCCAUUCCUUCAGACUCCCAAGCACCUGCCCAUCCCACUCCAUAGCCCAGCCACCCACUCUCAUGUACCAUAUGACCAUCCCAGUAAGCAAGCCAACCACUAGAAUUUGACUGGCAUGCACCUGUGACUUACAUAAACCAGACCUCUACAUAGCCUACAUGUCUUCAUUUUGCUGGAGACUGCCCAUCAUCCUAGCCUGUUAUCUGUGAUAAAGCACACUGAAGUUAGGUUUGGAAUGCAUCCUUAUCAUGAAUGCUCUACACCUCCC